rnacentral:lncRNA from 1 species
AAAGAAUGUUGUUGACAGUUUGCUAAAUCAAUUUUUAGUAAUGACUUGUGCUUCCACAUGCGUGCGUGUGCAUGAACAUGAGAAAUUAUACGGUACUACUCUUAUACCAUGUAAGCAAUCCUACAUGGUAUAACAAAUCAAUAAAAGUUAGACAAAUGGAUAAAUAUAACCUACAAGUAAAUGAGUGAGUCCUAAAAAGAUGGCAACUAACUAGCAAUUUUUUUUCCUGAUAAUGGAGGGAUUGAACCCAGAUAUGAAGACUUUCUUGAAUACAAAGCACCAGCC